rnacentral:rRNA from 1 species
GAUGAACGCUAGCGGCAGGCCUAACACAUGCAAGUCGAGGGGUAGCAGGAUUAAGCUUGCUUAAUUGCUGACGACCGGCGCACGGGUGCGUAACGCGUAUGCAACCUACCUUAUACUGGGGUAUAGCCCGGAGAAAUUCGGAUUAAUCCCCCAUAGUACUAAUGAAUCGCAUGGUUUAUUAGUUAAAGCAUUGCGGUAUAAGAUGGGCAUGCGUCCUAUUAGCUAGAUGGUGAGGUAACGGCUCACCAUGGCUACGAUAGGUAGGGGGCCUGAGAGAGUGGUCCCCCACACUGGUACUGAGACGCGGACCAGACUCCUACGGGAGGCAGCAGUGAGGAAUAUUGGUCAAUGGGCGCAAGCCUGAACCAGCCAUGCCGCAUGCAGGAAGAAUGCCCUAUGGGUUGUAAACUGCUUUUAUUUGGGAAUAAACCUCUUUACGUGUAGAGAGCUGAAGGUACCAAAUGAAUAAGCACCGGCUAACUCCGUGCCAGCCGCCGCCGUAA